CACAACAACCACCAUAGGGAGGUAAGCUAAAACAGUCUCCCCCCCCCCCCCCACUUCCCGUUACCGUGGUUUCCAUUCACAUGUGAGCCAUCAGUUUGUGACUAGAAACUUUUUUUCCCUGGGCUGGGGGAACAUGGAGAGAACAACUUACUAUUUGCUACUGUUUAGCUAGGAUCUAUGCUGAUUUCCAGCAGCCUUCAUGGGGGUGGGGUGGGCAUGGAACAGCCUGAGAAUCAAUCAGACCCAUUAGGAGUAUGUCAAGCAGCGAGCCUUUUAAAAGUCUCAGGUAUCACAUCUCCUUGAAGUCACCGCUGAUCAUCAGGGAAGCGGGCAGAAUGCUAACUGCAAAUUGGGUUUGGGGGGGAGGGAGAGAGAAGACAUUGCAGGUCAUGGGGAAGAGAAGGUGAGGAAGCAGAGACGUUUUCCGACCACCACGUACUCCUCCUAUCCAUCUCAGGACCAUUUGACCAAAUUUAACAGGGUCAAACAGCAAUCCAGGUGGCCAUGGAUGAGCCCUCCUUGCCUGACCCAGGCAGGGCCAUCCCUACCAUUAGGCACAGUGAGAAAAGCACCUUGGGCAGCACUUAUAGUUGGAUAUAUUUCCAAGUUGCCCACAGUCUGACACCAGUGGGUAGAGAGGGGAAGUAGGUGUCCAUUUGACUUACAGUUUCAAAUCAGAUUGGACCUGGUUUGGUGGGAACUGCAAAAUAGACAUGUAUUGCGGCUAACGCUGUGUGUCUGCAGCCUCACAAGGCAGCAGUGGGAGCGUGCUGGACACAGAGUAAACAGGAAUGUGUACACAGCCGCCCUCACAUACUCCUAUCCAUUUCUUUAUCCAAAUAAACAAGGAUACAUUCUGGUCAGACCAACAUAUUUGGGCUGUGAAGCAAGGCAAGUGGGAAGUGUGGCCUGGGGACACUUCCAAGGGCCAAACAGAGAGGCGUGGAGGGCCACAGUCUACCCUGUGACUUCUAAGCUAGCCUGCUGCCCUUGUGUGCUAGGGAGGACAUCAGCCUAGUCACCAGUGUUGAAGCAAGAUUCAACCACCAACGCAGUCAGCUUCUAUAUCUGGAAUGGGGAGGAGCUAUCACCUUGUCUUUCACCUCCGGCAGCACAAUGUCUUGGGUGGACCUUGCAAGUAGCUGCCCAUCCAAAUAUAAAAGUCCAAAUGGUUUAGAAUAGAGGUCAACUAUUGGAGGUUCCUAGCUCUUAAAAGAGAAAGAGGUGUGAAGAAACUGGCUUCCUUUGCAAUGGAGCUUUUCUGACAGGCCACUGAAGAGGACAGAUGUGUGGGCCUGUGGCCCCCCUCCUUCUAAAUGACCCUUCAGGAAAAUUAGCUGCUGACCAGAGGUCUACAAAACCAUCUUAUGCACAUCUGAGUUCAAUGUGGCUUACUUCAGAGUGGGUAAAUGGGUAUAAGUGCAGCCUUUUAGAGACUGUACUAUCUUUAUUUCACAACAGAACUGAAUAAUGCAGUGGGCUCUGCAAUGGGAUGCUGAUUCACAUGUGCUUGACCUUUUUUUUUCUUUUCUUUUUUGCAUGGCUUGGAGAUCUGCUCAACCUGUAUGUGAAUGUAUGCAUACACAAACCAUAUAACACAGAAUGUCAGUAAUUGUCCAACCAAUGGCAGACUUUGCCUCUCAUGAUCCACUGUGCAGCGCUGUAGUGGCGCCCCCUGCAGCACAGCACCCAGUGUGGCCAAACUGGUUGCACAAUUCUCAAACCGCUUCUGGUCCAGUGACCUCUUUCCCAAGGAAACCAGACCUGGGUGAAUGGACUGCAGGGCCAGGACAUCUCAGCACUUUGAAAACUGGACAGGAGUCUACACAGCCAUUAUGAUAUGUAAUAUUUCCAGCCUCAAAGGCUUUCAACUAUGAAUUGACUUUCCCUUGCCAGGAAAAAUAAAUUUAAUAAUCUGUGAUUCAGAAGUACUGAGACUUUUAAAUGAAAAUCCCUGCCUAUCCCAUGUUUGGAGGUUAUUUGGGGACAUGCUAUGUGAGAAUGAGAACAGAAAGAGAACUUUUCCAAAUAUGAAAUUAGAAACUGUUGUGCACAUAGAAUUAAAGGGGGGGGAGGGAACUACGUUGAGCUGUUCUUAAGUACAUUUCCUGUCACUGAAAAUACUCUGUAUUCAAGAAGAGCACCAUCUUGGUUAAAAUGUCAAUUGGGAGCAGGGGGGGAGGAAUAUAAGCAAGGUAGCCAAGACACCGGGGGGGGGGGGAGCAAGCACUAUGGGAUGGGAUACAGUGUGGUUUACAAUUGCAUUAUGUCUGGCCUCUUAGUUAUUGAUUUUUCUCCUUUUUCUAUUUAUAGCAGCCUCACUCAGUGUCAAAUCUCUUUCAGCGGUCACAGGCUCCAGCAGAAACAGGGCUGAGAAAGGAGGCAGCAAAGCCAGGCAGCUGGGAGGGGGCCGGGAAGAGACUUGGGCUGUGCAAGGAUAGCAUAGCUUGUAGUGCCAGCGGGAAAGAGCACCAGCCACAACGAUGGCACCAUCAGCACCAUCAUCUUAAAUAAGAUGGACAGUUCCACCUCCACAUUCAUACAGGUUCCCUCAAGAGCCAAGAUGGCUGCACUCCAGCUAAGUGUAUAAACUAUAAAAUCAAGUAUAUGAAGCUAAAAUCAUUGCAUCCUGACAAAGCGUCUGUGACAAUGACCCUUGGCUUGAGGGCAGGGAGACUCCUGGGAAGCAUCGGUGGGAAGAAGUCAAAGCACUGGCAGCUCCCCACCAACUUGCCAGGGAUGAAGGCCUGUUUGUGGCUAGCAUGGCUCUGAGGCCCACCUUUCCUCCUCAACAGCUCCCUCCUCUUCCAGGUACCAUCCCCACGGCACUGAUUCUACCCCCGUCACCAGAGAGCAGGAGCAGCAUGGCUGGGUGUGGGCCUGUGGCUAUGUGCUUAAGGGCACUGCUCCUGUAAUUCCGCUGCACCACCCGUUUGCCCUUUAGAAAUUACAGAAUGCAAUGUAAGCAAAGUCAUACUAUGACUAUGUGACUGAAUCCCACCUGAAAAUAGCAGCAGUCUGAAGCGCCCUCUAAGAAACAGAUGAAAAGCUUUGUCACUUCCAGAUGAACAUUCAUUCUGAUUUGUUUGCAGGGAGGUUAGACAAUGCCACAUCAAGCAAAUGUUAUCCUACACUUAUUCUGUCACUUCCCAGAUUGCAAAAAGCCCACUUUGGGAGAGGGGUUAUUGGGCAAGAGUUUGAAAUCAAUCAUAACUCUGCAACCUGAAUUUGCUGACAUGUGAUUGAAUCCCACCUAAAAACAGAGACAGCCUGGGAAUGCCCUGAAUUGGAUAAGAUUCUCCUGGGCGUAGGUUUUCAGGUUGUAUUGAGGGAUGCUGAGACUGAAAAACACACAGCAGGUUGAAUCCAUAUAUGUAUAGCUAUAGCUCUAUCAUCUAUAUCUGUAUUUAUAUCUAUAUCUAUAUCAGCUGUAUCCAGCCUUAAGCAAAAGCUAUAGAUAAGGCCCUGUGAUUGAACACUCCCCGAUGAAGAGGCCUAUACAACAAACCAAUUGUUUCUCCACAGACCGUAUUAUGUCAUGUUAUCUUUCUUUUCUUCACCUUGGUAUAGUCUCUUGAAUGACUCAUGCAACCCUGAAUUUAAGAUGAUGUCAUUGCUAUUCUAUGAUGGGAGCUAAACCUUAUUUAAAAAUCAAUGAAUUAUCUGUUCCUCCAGCCCCACUGAACUAUCCGAGCCCAGGAAGAGUUGUCAAAUUGUCCCCUUUCCCGCAACAUUUUCGAUCUUGGGAUGGCCAUUUCUGCAUCAUCCAAAAAAGAAAAGGAAAUGCAGCAGGCAUGCACACACACACACACACACACACACACACACACACACUUUGAAGGGCAACACAUAUUUAUUAACCUAUGCCAAUUUAUAUGCCUAGGUGCCAUUUUAGAAAUUGGUACAACUCAAGUGAGGAAGUCUGUGACCAAGUGACCUGUCGGCCUGCUGAGUCAGCUAUCCACACUAACUGUUGAUGAGCAGCUCCUGUUCUCCUUCCUUGUGGUCCUGUAUCAUUAAACCAGACUUGAAGAGAGCUGUCCUCUGCCCAUCCCAGUUCUUUGUGCACAGCCUCAUGGUCCAGCAGCAACCAAGAUUCCAAGUCGGAAACCAUGGUGCCACAAGCUGAGGAGGGGGACCAGGUUCCUGGCUCUGGUCCAGAUGGUGCUGAUCAGGGACUCAGAGAACAUGAUGCUGGCAGGCUGGUGCAGACUAAACUGGCUCCCACAGGACCAUGGCCCAUAAAAUCAGAGCCAGGACCUUCACAGGCACCUUCCUUUGGGCCCUAGGAAUUCAGGGCCUCCCAGACUUCUUCACCAGCCCAAGAGUGCAGUGAACACAUCAGGCAAGAGGCCAUAGAGAGAAGCAGCAAAGCAUCUUCAGGCCAGAAGGUUGCUGCCCUGACUCCCUAGGCAUCUUCAGGAGCCUAUGCAAUCAGGGUCCCUUAAACAGGCUGUUGUGUGGACAGAGCCUUAGUCCACCCCUCCCUCUGUGCAUGUGCAGAGAGAACCAGACCAGUGAUAGACAUGCAUUGCAAAGUGCAGUAGAAGAAAUGACUAUCCCAGCCUUCAUCAGCCUGGGGCUGAUGGGAACUGUAGUCCAAAACAUCUGGCUGGAGGGCACCAGUUUGGCAAAGGCUGGGUUAAACAUUUGUGUCCUGAAUACAGGGGCUUCAUCAGAAUGCAGCUGAGGUUUGUUUAAAGAAACAACCACCAGUUUCUGCAUCCUGUUCCAUAAUGCCUGCCUGUCUUUCACCUGUUAAAAGUAAUCCUUCCCAGGAGUAUGUAAGAGGGAAAUGCUACUCCAGUUUUAAUUGAGGAAGAAAAUAAAGGUGCUUUUUAUAUCAGAAGUCUGGGAAGCAUUAGGCAACUGUUUCUGAUCAGAAGAAAGAAAGAAAGAAAGAAAGAAAGAAAGAAAGAAAGAAAGAAAGAAAGAAAGAAAGAUUUAAUAAAGGACAUGCGACUUCUCUGACAUAUACCAUAAAUUGUGCUUUCUUUUCUGCUCUGGCUCAGCUUUGCCGAGAGUACGGGAAUCACACACUGGCAUCUCUUGAGUGGGUAAUGGAGAAACAGAAUGAACCAGCCAAGGGAUGAGAUCAUCUGUUUAUACUCACUACUUCUUCCAUUAAAGUGGGGAGGGGAGCGAGGCUUUUAAGGGCUGAUCGCUGGCCUGUGAAACUAGGCCUUUGUUUGUCAGGAUGAUUCUUGCCGUCUCUCUGCUCCUUUGUGUGUAAGCCUGACUGAUGAUGUGCUCCUGGCAUGUCUCUCCCUUUUAAAAGAGAUGGUGCCAUCUGAGAGAUACACUCAAAGAGACCAGCAGCAUUUCAGCUAAGUAAAAGCUGCGGGGAACAGGGGAGUCAUGGCUGGCCCACUGACCAUUCAGCAAGGUUUUUGCGUUGAGUUGCAGACAUAAUAAGAACUCUGAGGGAUCAGAUCAACUUCCUACCUCGUCCAGCAUCCAGCUUCCUUGAGUGGUCAGCCAGAUGCCUAAGGGACGUCUGCAGGCAGAACACGAGGGCAGCACCCUUCUUCUCCUUCUGUGGUUCCUUAGAGACUGGUGUUUAGAGAUGCCACCUCUAAUUCUGGGUGAAACAGCUGGCCAUUGUGAUGACGAGCCAUUGACAGCCUUUUCUUCCAUGAAUCUGUAUAAUCCCCUUUUAAAACUGUCUUAAGUCCUUGGCCUUCACACUACAUUUCAUAAGUUAUUGCUGCAUCUUGGAAGUAAAAGAGAAACGGAAACAGGGCAUUAAUAAAGAUGUUAUGCGGGUUGUUCUCUUGUUCUGUAGGUUGUUCCUGUAUUGCUGUGAGCACUGUGAGCUCAGUAAAUAAGUCCAUUUCUGUUUCUCUUGGUUUCCUAUUUCUCUAUUCUAAAGUUUGGUUCACGGGUCAUUUUCACACCAGUUUGUGAGUUCUUUUGAAAAAAGUCCUCAUGAGAAUUCCUCAGAAUUUUGGUGCACAUUUCCACGUAAUAUACACAUAUUUGUACAAAUUUUGUGAUAUACACAUUUUUAAAAGCAUAUAUUUCAUAAUUCUACUUACAGUUAGGUAGCCGUGUUGGUCUGCCGUAGUUGAAACAAACAAACAAAAAAAAUCCUUCCAGUAGCACCUUAGAGACCAACUAAGUUUGUUAUUGGUAUGAGCUUUUGUGUGCAUGCACACCACACGAAAGUUAAUACCAAUAACAAACUUAGUUGGUCUCUAAGGUGCUACUGGAAGGAAUUUUUUUAUUACAUUUCAUAAUAUUAGGCUUUAAUUCAAUGGGACUUACUCUGAGUAGACAUGUUUAGGAUUGUGCUGCCUAUAAGGCACAUACACACACACACACACACACACACACACACACACACACAUUGAGCACACACCUGGUCAGCAUUCCUGGUGUGAACACAAACAGAAACAAAUCUAAAACCAAUUAUCUGAAAUAUUGGAAUGUGUGAGAGGCCUUGCUUUGCCACACAUGGCAUCAAUAAUAUGCCUCCUAUCCUCAAUUUACAUCCUGGAUGAGAUGUAUGUCUGGUUUUAAUGUUUCACCUGAACAAAGCUUAUGGCUUGUUUCUCUCGAAGCAAAACAAACCAUGAUCAGUAGUUUGGGCAUAGCACUAAGCCAACUCCUGCAUGGUUGAUUCCUUACUGGAGGAAGAAAGGGACCAAGUGGGAGCCCUUAAGCUGCAGAUGCUACCAUGGUUAAGGCUUAGUACUGCAUCCAAACAGUAGGGAUUUAUUUACACUUAAAGUGAAUAGGGAGUGAGGAUCUAGGCUGGUGCAGAGUGAGGUAAGGGUGCUUAACCCUUUCCCCUCUGCUAUUCUCCUAAUCUCAAUUGCAUUCAGUCCUCUACCUAGCUGAUGCUUGUCCCACUAGUGGGGAAAAAUGAGCACACAUCACCAUUUCCAUUAGUUUGACUUAUCCCCCCCCCAAAAAAGGUCUCUAAGUCACUUACAGAAAGGUGACAGACCAAAAAAGUACACCAUAUAAAACAACAAAACCAUUCCAAUAACCCGUAAACAAACCCUGCAGAAAAAGCAAGGACAUUUCAUUCAAUAGACACAUUGAACCUUUUUGAGUCCAUGGCUCCCUUGACCAACUACACACUUUCUGCGGCACCCCUGUGGGGCUCAGGAGCCCAGUUAUGUCACCCCUUGCCUGCAGAGAUAGCAGCCCCUCACCCCUUUUCGAACACUCUCGCUUGUGGAGGGUUCCCUCAGCCUCUUCUCUUCCCUCUCCUUGGGAGUCCUCUGGGCAGCCACUGCUGCCGCCCCUGGUCUCUGAGUUGCCCCCCCACCCUAUAGAGAGAUGCCUCCUCACACUGCCCCACAGGGGCCUGGGAAGCUCCCCCUGGCCAGCCCCAGACACACCAUUUGCCUGCAAAGCUUGUAGCCAGGGCUGCUGCAACGAACAGCUAUGCAAGCCUUGGGGAGGCAGAGACAUGAGAGGGCAUCAGAGGAGGGAGGGAAGGAAAGAGGGACAGAGGCCAGUGUUUCCCACAGCACCCCUGACCAUCAUUCAAGGCACCCCAGGGUGCCACGGCACACUGGUUGAAAACCACUGCAAUAGGUCAUCAACCACCUUGUCAUAAUCCGCCAAAAGCCUAGGAAAACAGUUUAACCUGGCUGGCACCAAAGGAUGAUAAUGAUGUCAACCUACAAGAAAAUCAUGGCUUGGCUUAGCAAUGUGUGCAAAUCCGCUCUGGGUGUUGGUUUUAAACAGCCCCACGUCACCUGAAGUGCCUGGCAAAGAAGCCACUCAUAAAUUUUAGAAAUGAAAACAAAUACUGUACGAGGAAUCCCAUAGCCCUGCCUUGAUGAGAGGGGAAGUAGAAUCGGUCUCAGGCCAGAGUGUGCUAGCCAAUCCAGCUCAUUCAGAGACGGUGGGAGGGCCUAGAUUCAUUCCACAUAUUGGCCAAAGAAACGGCUCUCCAGUCCAUGAGUGGUAUGAUUGGGCUUCACAAGUGGGAUGAAUGGAUGCUUUUAUUUGCAUGAGAGAGAAAAGAGGAUGUUUGUGUUCACGCUUGCAGUUGUGUUUUGAAGUGUGCGUGCGUGGGAGGGAGCAAGCAGCAUUCCUUUUUGUGUGUGUCUGUCCCUCCACAGGGCGAGUGCUGCGGCUGUUUACAUCUGUGGGGUAAAUGUACUAGUGGGAUGAAAAUGAAAAUGGCGGUGUGUGUAUGGCUGCGAGGGUGUACUCGCCUUCAGUUCCACAGGGCUGGCUGCCAGGUAAGUGUAUGUGAGGACUGCAGGCUUAGUCUGCAUUGUGUGUGUGGCUAUGGGAAUGCUCCUUGUGUGCGAGGGAAGAGACAGUUGGGAUGAUGUGUAGGCAGACAGUGAGUAAUUUGAGGAGGGAGAAUUGCCAUCAAGGGGAGUCAAGAGAGGUUGAUGCUACAAUGCCCUUUGGGAAUGAACAAACUUCCUAAGGGAAAGUUCCCAACAGCCCUUCACUCUUUGCUUCAGGAAUAAUCAGAUGGAAGCAUUUGCCAUACAACACAACUGCUUGCCUUUGCACCCUUUCUACAGUUUUAAUCAUAACAAGGGGAGGCAAUCGCUAGGGCAGGGGACUCCUUCAAACCUGCUAAAAUUAUGAUUGGGUUGCUGCCAGCCUUUGUAUCAGCAGAGUCCUUAACUUCCUAGCCCUCAGGAUUUCCAGGAGCAGCUUGAAAAUGUAUCCUAAAAAACAAUAUUAUCUUUCUCCCACGACC